rnacentral:rRNA from 1 species
UAUACAAGGUGCUGCAUGGUUGUCGUCAGCUCGUGCCGUGAGGUGUCGGGUUAAGUCCCAUAACGAGCGCAACCCCUAUCAUUAGUUGCCAUCAGGUCAAGCUGGGGACUCUAAUGAAACUGCCUACGCAAGUAGUGAGGAAGGCGGGGAUGACGUCAAAUCAGCACGGCCCUUACGUCCAGGGCUACACACGUGCUACAAUGGUCGAUACAGAGGGCAGCUACCUGGUGACAGGAUGCAAAUCUCCAAAGUCGGUCUCAGUUCGGAUCGGAGUCUGCAACCCGACUCCGUGAAGUUGGAUUCGCUAGUAAUCGCGCAUCAGCCAUGGCGCGGUGAAUACGUUCCCGGGCCUU